rnacentral:snRNA from 1 species
GUGCUCGCUUUGGCAGCACAUAUACUAAAAUUGGAACGAUACAGAGAAGAUUAGCAUGGCUCCUGUGCAAGGACAACAUGCAAAUUCAUGAAGCAUUCCAUAUUUUU